UCGUCAGCUGAGGGUUAACAAGGUCUAUCUGCUCUUUAACUAGUUCAGAGAAAUAGGCAAAUGAAAGUUUGUAUGCUCACAAAAGGAAUAGAAUACAAUUUAAUUUCAAAAUGUUUUGAUCUACUACAUACUAUACACUAGGUUGUUUAAUUACAGUUAUUUGUGCAUUGCUACCCAGCAUGAAUUAUGGGAAAUAGCGAUCCUACUUUUGGAGAUAGACCUUUGUGACUCUGAAUUUUUUGAAAAAUUAGAGUUACAAAGGUCUAUCUAAAAUUAGUUAAUUCUGAAUGUUUAAAAUUUUACCUCCAAGAUUAUUUUAACAAGUCUGCGCUCAUUUCAACAUUGGAAACAUCAAUUCAAAGUUUGAUAAUCUACUAUUCCAUUGAUUUCCUGGGUAGUUUCGGUACAAAUCUUACUACAUUCUAAAACUAUGAGGAUUAUAAAUAUAUUAAUAAUCUAAAAAAAGGUUGAUUAGUUUCUAUUUAGCUCUAAUUUAUACAUAAUUAUAUAUAUUUAAAAAAAUCAGUUAAAA